rnacentral:rRNA from 1 species
ACAAGCGGUGGAUGAUGUGGAUUAAUUCGAUGCAACGCGAAGAACCUUACCUACCCUUGACAUGUCCGGAACUUGCCAGAGAUGGCUUGGUGCCCGAAAGGGAAUCGGAACACAGGUGCUGCAUGGCUGUCGUCAGCCCGUGUCGUGAGAUGUUGGGUUAAGUCCCGCAACGAGCGCAACCCUUAUCAUUAGUUGCUACGCAAGGGCACUCUAAUGAGACUGCCGGUGACAAACCGGAGGAAGGUGGGGAUGACGUCAAGUCCUCAUGGCCCUUAUGGGUAGGGCUUCACACGUCAUACAAUGGUCGGUACAGAGGGUUGCCAAGCCGCGAGGCGGAGCCAAUCCCACAAAGCCGAUCGUAGUCCGGAUUGUUCUCUGCAACUCGAGAGCAUGAAGUCGGAAUCGCUAGUAAUCGCAGGCCAGCAUACUGCGGUGAAUACGUUCCCGGGCCUU